rnacentral:rRNA from 1 species
AUACGGAGGAUCCGAGCGUUAUCCGGAUUUAUUGGGUUUAAAGGGUGCGCAGGCGGGAGAUUAAGUCGGCGGUGAAAUUUUGCAGCUCAACUGUAAAAAUGCCUUCGAAACUGGGUUUCUUGAGGGGAGGUUAAGUAGGGGGAAUUUGUGGUGGAGCGGGGAAAUGCAUAGAUAUCUCGAGGAACUCCGAUUGCGCAGGCAGCUUACUAAACUACUACUGACGCUCAGGCACGAAGGCGUGGGGAUCAAACAGGAUUAGAUACCCUGGUAGUCCACGCAGUAAACGAUGAUUACUAGCUGUUUGCGAUACAAUGUAAGCGGCUGAGCGAAAGCGUUAAGUAAUCCACCUGGGGAGUACGUUCGCAAGAAUGAAACUCAAAGGAAUUGACGGGG